AUGCCUUAUUACGAACUUUGAAAGCCAUUUGCCUAUUUUGGACUCUGCUUCUUAUAUUUUCUUAUUUUUAUAUACAAGAGCAGUCCCCAUGUUUUUACAUAUUGCUUUUUAGUUAUGUAAUAAAAUACUUUAACUUUUUACAUUUUUGUAACUCAAGCUCAGAGAUUUCAAGUACCACAAGAAGAAGGACAGGGAAGUCCUAUGCAAUAAUCCCACAGCACCAUUCAUGGGAGCCAUAUGAUUAUAUUUGGCUCCAGGCUUGUCAGUACAAGACCUAGUCAUCCUUCAGUUUGAUUUUAUUUAAACUGUAUUACACUAUAUAGUUUUAUGUUUCUAUUUUAGGUGUAUUUUAGAAGUGUGAUCCACCAUUGUAUGUAUUCGAUAUUUGUUAUUUCUAGAGUGGUUUGAGGGGUUCCACUUCCACUUUAUUCACUGUUAUUGCUCUAUACUCAUUUAUUUGACACAGUUGUUCACGGUUUUUCACUUAGACACCGGCACUUUUAGUUUCACUUGUCUAGCUUUGGUUUCACUUAGGAUGCUUUCCUAAAGGUGUAGAAACAAACUAAGUCCCUUUAUUAUCCUUCAUUUCGGAAGGUAAAUUCUAUGUUUUUUCAGCUCACUCUAUUUAUAGUUUAUAGCAACAGUCUCUUAGUUACCACAUUGCUUACCGCGGUGACGCAGUGUGCUUAAGUCACAUGCGGUUUUCCUGCACUUCCGGGUUUACAAUUCUGUUUGGGAGAUUCACUUCACGUCUACUGGUAAGUAUUUUUACCCUUCUCUAUAUAUUUACACUGUUGGAAGGUAUUAACCCCUUAAGGACUGGACUGUUUUUGCGAUGUUGUACAUUUGCGACCAGGCAUAUUUUUACACUUUUGUGGUGUUUGUGUUUGGCUGGAAUUUUCCGCUCUCUCAUUUACUGUUCCCAUACAAAUUAUAUAUUGUUUUUUCAGGACAAAAGGGGCUUUCUUUACAUACCAUUAUUUAUAUAAUCUCAUGUAUUUUAAUUUAAAAAAAAUAAAAAAAUAUAAUGAAAAAUUGAAAAAAAUACAUGUUUUUUUACUUUUACUUGAAAAAUCUUUUACUCAUCUACAAAAGCGAAUUUAAAAAACUGCUAAAUAGAUUCAAAAUUCUGUCCUGAGUUUAAAAAUACCCCGUGUUUACAUGCUUUUUUGCUUUUUUUUGCAUGUUAUAGGGCUAUAGGUACAAGUAGAAUAUUGCGGUUUCAAAACAUAAAUUUUUAAAAUUUAUCAAUAGUGACAUUGUAACACUAUUAUCUGUCAUAAAUCUCUGAAUAACACCCCACAUGUACAUAUUUUUUUUAAAGUAGACAACCCAGGGUAUUCAAUAUGGGUAUGUCCAGUCUUUUUUAGUAGCCACUUAGUCGAAAACACUGGCCAAAGUAAGCAUUCAUAUUUGUUUGUGUGUGAAAAAAGUAAAAAAACUAAAUUGAACGCUAAUUUUGGUCAGUGUUUGUGACCAAGUGGUUACUAAAAAAGACUGGACAUACCCCAUUUGCAAUACCUUGGGUUGUCUUCUUUUGCAAAUGGUAUGCUAUCAUGGGGGUAAUUCUCAUUCCUGGGCUACCAUACGCUCUCAAAGGCAACGUAACCAACCUGGCCAUUUUCAAUGUAAAAAUAUUUGACCCAUAUAUUUGACCUUGUAACGUUCAAAAAUGCUAUAAAACCUGUACAUGGGGGGUACUGUUUUACUCAGGAGACUUCGCUGAAACAAAUUAUUAGUGUUUAAAAACUGGAAAACGUAUCACAACAAUUAUAUCAUCAGUAAAAGUGCUGUUUGUGUGUGAAAAAUGCAAAAAAGUCACUUUCACUGACAAUAUCAUUGCUGUGAUAUGUUUUACUGUUUUGAAUCACUAAUAUUUGUGUUCAGCGAAGUCUCCCGAGUAAAACAGUACCACCCAUGUACAGGUUUUAGGGUGUCGUAGAACGUUACAGGGUAAAAUACAGUGCUAACAAAUUCAAUUCUCUGGAAUUUCGGCCUGGGUUGGCAGGCAGGUCCCUCAAAUUGCAAUCAAUAAAAUUACUGAAUUAUGUAAAAUAUUACAUAAAUACGCACGUAGAAUUUAAAUAUAUAUGCAUAUUUAUAUAUUUGAAGUCUACGUGUAUAUUUAUAUAAUUAUUUAUGUAAUUUUGUAUAUGGACAUAUGUAUAUUUCUUAUUAUUUUUAUUUAUUUUAUAUACAUAGAUAUAUAUACAAAUUCAUUCUAAGUGUAUUUUGAUAUAAAUAUAUAUAUAUUAAUUUUAAAAUACAGUUAGAAUAAAAUUUCAUAUAGAUAUAUAAUUUUUAUUUUUUUUUAUUAUUAUUUUAAAUUUUUUUUAUUUAAUUUAAAUUACUUAUUAUUUAUAUUUUAUAAUAAUAUAUAUAUACAAUAUAUAUAGUUAUUAUAUAUAUGAUAUAUAUACGUGUGUAAUUUAAUUAUAAGUGUAUUUUUAUAUUAAUAUAAGUACAUAUUAAUAAAAAAAUACACUUGGUAUGACAUUAUAUAUAUGAUAUAUAGACAUAUAUUAGACAAUAUAAUAUAUGUCUAUAUAUCAUAUAUAUAUACACAUAUAUAAUUUUUAUUUUUUUUAUUAACACUAACUUUAUUUUUUUUAAUUUUUUUACACUAGCAGGGAGACUGCCUGUCAGCACAGGCAGUCCCCCUGCUGGCAGACACAUGGACACCUAUUGUGACCAUGUGAUCGCUGUGUUAAGCGAUCACAUGGCCACAGGGGUCCUAAUCCAGUGUGGGGAGACUGUCUGGGCUGCAGGCAGUCUCCCCACAACCGGAGCCACGCUGAUCGCCGCCGGGGGAACGACAGCGAUCAGGUAAGUACCCCCAGACCGUUAGGACGGUUCAGGACCGUCAUCGGUCCUCAAGGCAAAAAUGCCGAUGACGGUCCUGAACCGUCCUCGGUCGCUAAGGGGUUAAUUCUGAUCUUGAGAAAGACCUGUAGAGGUCGAAAUGUUAAUCAACAUUUUCUUUGCACAAUAAACCAGUUAUUUUUUAAGUCCAGGAGUACACCUUUAUUGAUUCUUUCUUUUUAAACUUUUUUUUUUUUCUGUGUUUUGUUCCCCCCCCUUUUUUUGUGCUGCUGCUUGAUUGAUUGGGGGAGUGUUCAUUAAUUGCACCUGUGUGGGAUUUGUAUCCCCAUAAAGGCACACCCCUAACUCACUGAGCUUGCUCACAUUAUUUGAAAGCAGCCUCUAUUAAGUAGACUCUUUCAAGUAGGGGUUAGAAAACCAGGAGUUGAAACUAACAAGGUAAUUGUUUUAAUUUUCUGUUUCUGGGGAAAUGAGUGUUAGCAGGACUGCUGGUUUGACUCAAUGCACAUCUUGUUGCAUGUAUGGAUGCCUGGAUGUACCCGUCCAGGGUCCGUACCUCUGUGAUGGUUGUGUGCGAGUGGCUUCUCUGGAAGCUCAGAUUGGAGAUCUAGAGAAGCAAAUCGCAACUUUGAGGGAGAUUGACAAUCUUGAGAGGAGUCUACUGCUCACUGAGCAGAGUUUAGUGGGGACAGGUAGUGGAGAGGGAGGAGAUAAGACAGAAGGAGAACAGGCAUGUAGCUUGGUGACAGUGGGGCGAGGAAGCGGGGGGGAGGGAAGAGGAAAGGGCUAGCUAGUCCUGAUUUGGUGCAACCUAGCAGAUUUGCCCGGAGUAGCUGUAUUAGAGGAAGCUGUUACUUCUAACAGCCCCCCUAGUACGGGUGGGGAUCAAAAUGUAAGGAAGGCAAGACAGGUUGUGGUGGUAGGGGACUCUAUCAUUAGGAGAACAGAUAGGGCAAUCUGCCACUCUGAUCGGCUCAACCGGACAGUUUGCUGUCUACCAGGUGCUCGGGUCCGGCAUGUUGCUGACAGAGUGGAUGGAUUAUUGGGAGGGGCUGGGGAUGAUCCAGCGGUCAUGGUCCAUGUUGGUACCAAUGACAAAGUAAGAGGAAGAUGGAAGGUCCUAAAGAAUGAUUUCAGGGAAUUAGGUAGCAAACUUAAGAUAAGGACCUCCAAGGUGGUAUUCUCUGAGAUAUUACCUGUGCCACGCGCUACAGUGGAAAGGCAGCGGGAGAUUAGAGAGGUCAAUGCAUGGCUUAAGUCUUGGUGCAGGAAGGAGGGUUUUGGGUUUUAGAGCACUGGGCCGACUUUGCGAUUGGGUACAACCUUUAUAGUGGUGAUGGAUUGCACCUAAACGGGAGAGGGUCUGCAGUGCUGGGGGAUAGGAUGGCUAGAAGGUUGGAGGAGAUUUUAAACCAGUAGUAGGGGGGAAGGGUCAUAGCAAUCUACAAAAUGGAGAUAGGACAGAAAGGAGAUGGGCUUUAGCACAGUAUAAGGGGGGAGGGGCAAGCUCAGAACAGAGAAGCUGUGUAAUGGUGAAAAUUCACAAAAUAUACAAGUGACGCAUAAUAUUAAAUGUAUGCUUACUAAUGCAAGGAGCCUAAGUAACAAAAUGGGGGAACUAGAGGCAUAAGCAUACACUAAACAAUAUGAUACAAUAGGCAUAACUGAAACAUGGUGGGAUGAGACACAUGACUGGGCAGUUAACUUAAAUGGGUACAUGUUAUUUAGGAAGGAUAGGAAAAACAAUAAGGGUGGUGGGGUAUGUUUGUAUGUCAAACAUGAUUUAAAGCCAAAUGUUAAGCAAAUGGAAUGCGAGGAGGAUAAUGUGGAAGCUUUAUGGGUAAAUAUCUGCUUGGGGGAAAAGAAGGGAAACCAACUAUUGGUUGGGAUAUGUUAUAAACCACCUAAUGUUAAUAUUGACGAGGAACAACAGCUGUUUGAGCAAAUUGAGAAAGCUGCAAAUCUGGGUAACACUUUAAUUAUUGGAGAUUUUAAUUACCCAGAUAUAAAUUGGGACAAAGGGACUAGUGCCUCAGCAAAGGGAAUUAGGUUUUUAAAUUUGUUAAAUGACCCCCUUAUGUCACAACUUGUACAAACACCAACUAGAAUGGAUGCUUGUCUGGACCUGGUUUUAACAAACAACGUUGAUUUUUUGACCAACAUUCAAGUAGGUGAGCACUUGGGAAAUAGUGAUCACAAUAUAGUGUCCUUUGAAAUAAACUCAAAAAAACCAAAAGCACAUGGGGAAUACUAAAACAUAUAAUUUUAAAAAGGCCAAUUUCAAUAAGUUAAGGGAAGCUUUACAAUAUAUUGACUGGCAUAAACUCUUUAGUGAAAAGAACACUGAGAAUAAAUGGAUCAUCUUCCAACAAAUAUUAAAAAGGUACAUUUCUCAGUAUGUACCGUUGGGAAAUAAAUAUAAAAGAAACAAAUUAAAACCAAUGUGGCUUAGUAGAGAAGUAAAACAAGAGAUUACAACUAAGAAAAGGGCAUUUAAAACCUUUAAAUCGGACAAAUCAGAUGCAUCUUAUAAAAGAUAUAAGGAUGCAAAUAAUGCGUGCAAAAAGGCAAUUAGACUUGCUAAACUUCAAAAUGAAAUAAUAGCUGAAGAGAGCAAAACCAACUCCAAAGCAUUUUUUUUAAGUACAUAAAUUCUAAAAAAAACAAAAAUAAAAGUGUAGGUACACUAAAAACUGAAACGGGGGUGUUAGUUAAUGAAGACCAGGAAAAGGCAGGAAUUUUAAAUAACUAUUUCUCCUCCGUAUAUAUUAAGGAAGAACCCAUGGCAAUAGAUGUGCAAAUGAUUACUACUAAAAACUUGCAGAUUAAUUGUAAUUGGUUAACUCAAGACAAGGUGCUGCAGCAUCUAAAGAAAGUUAAUAUAAACAAAGCUCCAGGGCCUGACUGUAUCCAUCCACGUGUACUUAAGGAACUAAGUGUAGAAAUAAGUGAACCUCUGUUUUUAAUCUUUCAAGAUUCUUUUCUUUCAGGAAGUGUUCCGGAGGAUUGGAGGAAGGCAGAUGUGGUUCCUAUAUUCAAAAAGGGUUCAAAAUCCUUGCCUGGAAAUUAUAGACCUGUGAGCUUAACUUCUG